UACACCUCCUGUGACGCCGCUGCUCCCACCGCUCCUCCUCUUAUUACUCGGCUGUCAUUUGGUGUGCCACCACCGUGAGCGUUGCCGUGGAGCCGAAGCGGCCACCAGCAGAUCAGCAGCCGUGCCUGCUACUUCAGAGGUCCUCACUUUUUUGCUGCAAUCGGUUUGUGGGAAGCUGCAACCGGCCGUCUAGGAGCUGCGACCGGUGACGGCCACCUGCGGGAUGAGGCAGCGCUGGAAACGGGGACAUCGGGGAUGCUGAAACCCGUGGUGUUUUUUGCUGCUACCAGCUGUAAUUUUUGCUGGAACUGGCUCGGCGAAGAUUAGCUGCGGGCGGGGGUGGCCGGCAAGCACGGACGGCGCGGGGGUGGCCGGCAAGCAUGGGCGCGAGCGCGGGGGUGGCUGGCGAACACGGGCACGAGCACGGACAGCGCGAGUGUGGCCGGCGAGCAUGGGCGCGAGCACGAACGGCGCGAGGGUGGGCGAGCACAGGCGCGGAUGCGGACGGCGCGAGGAUGGCCGGGGAGCACGGGUCCGAGCGCGGGCGGUGCAGGGUGGCCGGCAAGCAUGGAUUGCGCGAGACAGGCGGCGAGCAUGGAGAUCUCCCUUUUUUUUUCUUUUUUCUUCACGCGUGUGUGGAAGGGAGAAGACGACUCAAUCGCGCUAUCCAGACCGUUUAUUUGUACGGGAUCCAACGCCUGGCAGCGGACCGGCCGAAACUUCGGCCGGUGUGCCGGCGCCUAGCGUCGCCCAAAAAUAAAUGUUGAUAUGCUUAUUGAACC